GUGUCAGCAGCCGCGGUAAUACGAAGGGACCUAGCGUAGUUCGGAAUUACUGGGCUUAAAGAGUUCGUAGGUGGUUAAAAAAGUUGGUUGUGAAAUCCCGAAGCUUAACUUCGGAACUGCAAUCAAAACUUUUUAGCUAGAGUAUGAUAGAGGAAAGCAGAAUUUCUAGUGUAGAGGUGAAAUUCGUAGAUAUUAGAAAGAAUACCAAUUGCGAAGGCAGCUUUCUGGAUCAUUACUGACACUGAGGAACGAAAGCAUGGGUAGCGAAGAGGAUUAGAUACCCUCGUAGUCCAUGCCGUAAACGAUGUGUGUUAGACGUUGGAAAUUAAUUUUUAGUGUCGCAGCGAAAGCAAUAAACACACCGCCUGGGGAGUACGACCGCAAGGUUAAAACUCAAAUGAAUUGACGGGGACCCGCACAAGUAGUGGAGCAUGUGGUUUAAUUCGAAGAUACGCGCAGAACCUUACCAACACUUGACAUGUUCGUCGCGACUCUAAGAGAUUAGAGUUUUCGGUUCGGCCGGACGAAACACAGGUGCUGCAUGGCUGUCGUCAGCUCGUGUCGUGAGAUGUUGGGUUAAGUCCCGCAACGAGCGCAACCCUCACUUUUAGUUGCCACCAUUUAGUUGGGCACUCUGAAAGAACUGCCAGUGAUAAGCUGGAGGAAGGUGGGGAUGACGUCAAGUCCUCAUGGCCCUUACGUGUUGGGCUACACACGUGCUACAAUGGCAUUUACAACAGGAAGCAAGAUGGCGACAUCAAGCAAAUCCUAAAAAGAUGCCUCAGUUCGGAUUGUACUCUGCAACUCGAGUACAUGAAGCUGGAAUUACUAGUAAUCGCGGAUCAGCGCGCCGCGGUGAAUACGUUCCCGGG
rnacentral:rRNA from 1 species